rnacentral:rRNA from 1 species
CAGUCGCCGCGGGAAUACGUAGGGUGCAAGCGUUAAUCGGAUUUACUGGGCGUAAAGCGUGCGUAGGCGGCUUCUUAAGUCGGAUGUGAAAUCCCUGAGCUUAACUUAGGAAUUGCAUUCGAUACUGGGAAGCUAGAGUAUGGGAGAGGAUGGUAGAAUUCCAGGUGUAGCGGUGAAAUGCGUAGAGAUCUGGAGGAAUACCGAUGGCGAAGGCAGCCAUCUGGCCUAAUACUGACGCUGAGGUACGAAAGCAUGGGGAGCAAACAGGAUUAGAUACCCCUGUAGUCCCUGUCUCUUAUAC